rnacentral:misc_RNA from 1 species
GUGAAUCAUCGAAUUUUUGAACGCAAAUUGCGCUUCCUGGCAUCCCGGGGAGUAUGCCUGUUUGAGGGUCAGUAUUAACAAAAAAAUCGGUUUGGUUGCAAAUUGUGCCGUUUCCGGGGUUUGGGCUAUCUUAACUUUUUUGGUUAAGGGGCUUAAAAUUGACCUUUUUUGCGCAUUUUUAGACGUACAUAAAUUUUUUUUUUUUUCGUUUUUUUUUAUUGCCAAAAUUUUAUUAGAUCCGUUACA